rnacentral:rRNA from 1 species
GAUGAACGCUGGCGGCGUGCCUAAUACAUGCAAGUCGAGCGAAUGGAUUAAGAGCUUGCUCUUAUGAAGUUAGCGGCGGACGGGUGAGUAACACGUGGGUAACCUGCCCAUAAGACUGGGAUAACUCCGGGAAACCGGGGCUAAUACCGGAUAACAUUUUGAACCGCGUGGUUCGAAAUUGAAAGGCGGCUUCGGCUGUCACUUAUGGAUGGACCCGCGUCGCAUUAGCUAGUUGGUGAGGUAACGGCUCACCAAGGCAACGAUGCGUAGCCGACCUGAGAGGGUGAUCGGCCACACUGGGACUGAGACACGGCCCAGACUCCUGCGGGAGGCAGCAGUAGGGAAUCUUCCGCAAUGGACGAAAGUCUGACGGAGCAACGCCGCGUGAGUGAUGAGGCUUUCGGGUCGUAAAACUCUGUUGUUAGGGAAGAACAAGUGCUAGUUGAAUAAGCUGACGCCUUGACGGUACCUAACCAGAAAGCCACGGCUAACUACGUGCCAGCCGCCGCAGUAA